CCUACGGGAGGCAGCAGUGAGGAAUAUUGGUCAAUGGGCGCGAGCCUGAACCAGCCAAGUCGCGUGAGGGAAGACGGUCCUAUGGAUUGUAAACCUCUUUUGUCGGGGAGCAAAAGACGCCACGCGUGGCGUUCCGAGAGUACCCGAAGAAAACGCAUCGGCUAACUCCGUGCCAGCAGCCGCGGUAAUACGGAGGAUGCGAGCGUUAUCCGGAUUUAUUUGGGUUAAAGGGUGCGCAGGCGGAAUAUCAAGUCAGCGGUAAAAUUGAGAGGCUCAACCUCUUCGAGCCGUUGAAACUGGUUAUCUUGAGUGAGCGAGAAGUAUGCGGAAUGCGUGGUGUAGCGGUGAAAUGCAUAGAUAUCACGCAGAACUCCGAUUGCGAAGGCAGCAUACCGGCGCUCAACUGACGCUCAUGCACGAAAGUGUGGGUAUCGAACAGGAUUAGAUACCCUUGUAGUC
rnacentral:rRNA from 1 species